rnacentral:rRNA from 1 species
GCUAGACUCCUACGGGAGGCAGCAGUGAGGGAUAUUGGUCAAUGGGGGAAACCCUGAACCAGCAACGCCGCGUGAGGGAAGACGGUUUUCGGAUUGUAAACCUCUGUCCUCUGUGAAGAUAAUGACGGUAGCAGAGGAGGAAGCUCCGGCUAACUACGUGCCAGCAGCCGCGGUAAUACGUAGGGAGCGAGCGUUGUCCGGAUUUAUUGGGUUUAAAGGGUGCGUAGGCGGAAUAUCAAGUCAGCGGUAAAAAUUCGGGGCUCAACCCCGUCGUGCCGUUGAAACUGAUGUUCUUGAGUGGGCGAGAAGUAUGCGGAAUGCGUGGUGUAGCGGUGAAAUGCAUAGAUAUCACGCAGAACUCCGAUUGCGAAGGCAGCAUACCGGCGCCCAACUGACGCUGAAGCACGAAAGCGUGGGUAUCGAACAGGAUUAGAUACCCGUGUA